UACGUAGGGUGCGAGCGUUAAUCGGAAUUACUGGGCGUAAAGCGUGCGCAGGCGGUUCGUUAAGUCAGAUGUGAAAGCCCCGGGCUCAACCUGGGAACUGCAUUUGAAACUGGCGGGCUUGAGUAUGGCAGAGGGGGGUGGAAUUCCGCGUGUAGCAGUGAAAUGCAUUGAGAUCGGAAAGAACACCAACGGCGAAAGCACUCUGCUGGGCCGACACUGACACUGAGAGACGAAAGCUAGGGGAGCAAAUGGG
rnacentral:rRNA from 1 species